AGAACGAACGCUGGCGGCAGGCCUCAAACAUGCAAGUCUAGGGGGUGUAGCAAUACAUCACCGGCGGACGGGUGCGUAACACGUGGGAAUAUACCUUUUGGUUCGGAACAACGCAGGGAAACUUGCGCUAAUACCGAAUGUGCCCUUACGGGGAAAGAUUUAUCGCCAAAGGAUUAGCCCGCGUAGGAUUAGCUAGUUGGUGAGGUAAUAGCUCACCAAGGCUCCGAUCCUUAGCUGUUCUGAGAGGAAGAUCAGCCACACUGGGACUGAGACACGGCCCAGACUCCUACGGGAGGCAGCAGUUGGGAAUCUUGGACAAUGGGGGAAACCCUGAUCCAGCCAUGCCGCGUGAGUGAUGAAGGCCUUCGGGUUGUAAACUCUUUCGACGGGGACGAUAAUGACGGUACCCGUAGAAGAAGCUCCGGCUAACUUCGUGCCAGCAGCCGC
rnacentral:rRNA from 1 species